CUCCAUGUGGCCUCAAGGCCCUCCUCGGCCUCCUCGGCCUUGGAUCCUGCUCGCUAGAGAACUGAUCACACCAAGGUCUGCCAGAAAGACCAGCCAGAGUGCCGAGGGCCUUGCAGUUCUGGAUGGAGCACCAGACUGGAGCUGACAGCGAGAGGAAGCCACUCGGGGACCCUAAGAGUGAACAGCGCUCAGCAGCCCUCGCUCAUUCUCAGCUCAGCUCUCUGUGGCAGACGCACCUGUGCUGAGCAGAGCCAGACUCUGAAGAAGACUCCGAGGCAGUGUCAAGACCCUCAGUGACUUCAUUGCCUGGGUGAUCUUGGGACCUUGGACGAGCCAUUUAACUUCUCAUGUGUAACCCGGUGAUGGCAGCAGUGACUUAAUGUCGCUAUUUCGAGGCCUGAGAUGUGAAGAGGUGCUUGACACAGUGGCUGGCAUCAAUCAAAUGAUAAAUGAUGGGAAGGGUAAUAAUGGCUACUGUUAACUGAGGGCUUACUGAGUGCCAGAUGCUGUCCUACGCACUUGAGAUGA